CUGAGACUUCCGUGUCCUUGCCAGUAAGAUGGAAAUAAGAGAACCUUCCUUGCCUUGAGAUAGCAUACGUGAAAUAUCUAUAUAAACCAUAAAGUGAUAUAAUCAAAUGGAAGACAUGAUUUUUCUGGAACCUCCUUCUAACUCUCUAGGACUUCAGGAGCAAAGCAGAAACUAACCAUCUAGUGAUCCCUGAAAGCAUCUCCAGCUUCAGGUAAUGGCCAUGUGAGGAACAUGGCUGACAGGUCCAGGUUGAGCUAGAGCUCGUGACCCAAGAAUGAAGGCAGGCCUUCAACUAAUGUGAAGUAGCCUCAGGCUGGAGGAAGAGGGAGAGACAGAAGAGGAGAGCUGACAGACAGGAGAAUAAGUUUUCUAAAGCUGAUUCGGACUACCUGGACUGUGUAAAGACAGCUGGAGGCACAGAACUGACAAAUCAACGAGAUACCACUAAUCUCUGAU
ensembl:lncRNA